UUGGUGGGCCCUUUGCUGAGGAGAUUCCCAACCUCCACCGCGUCCGAUGGCCGACGCGACCGGCGGUGAGCCGGCGACCCACUCCGCCGGAAGUCAGCCGUCUGCCCGCGCUGCGCGGCGCGGCCAGCUAGUUCCUCUCCGGGUGGUCGGGAGCAAGAUCAGGCGGGCCUCCGCGGCGGGGAUCGUUGGGAUCUUGCCCCAUCCGUGGUCGCGCCCCUUCCGCCUCCCUGCCUUUUCUCUCAAUCGCAGAAGGCAGCAGCCGGCCUCGCUCCCGCCGGCCUCGCCUCCCGUCCCUCCGGUGUCGCCGGCGUCGAGCGAGCGUAGGGUCGCCAGCCCCGUCUCCGUGAGUCCCCUCCUCCCCCGCCAGUCCUCUCCUCCUCCCUCCGCAGCCUGUGCGCCCCCUACCCAAACCCUAGAGUAGACCAAGGCCGCAGCUGCCGGCGGGCGGUGGACCGGCGAGACGACAGUAGGAUGGCUGCCCUGGAGUAACCGGCUGUGCGCAGGAUCGGCAUUCAACAGAUUUUCGUCAUAUUAAUCAUGUCACUUAGCAAGGUUGAAGUGAACUUGAUAAGGCUGCAGCUUCAAGCGACUCCUCGGCAGCAGAACCAGGCUAAGCUUGUCCAUAUGUUUGUCUGUGUCCACGUGAGAGACAGAGAGGACUAAUCUGCAACCAUUUUCACAGAAGAGUUUGCUCAUUGGACAGCACAGAGGACUAAUCUGCAACCAUUUUCACAGAAGGGUUUGCUCAUUGGACAGCACAAUACGAUGAAAGUUUGUAAUUAAGUUGUGUUCAUCAAUUGACCAGGGAACAUUUUUUUUUUCUCUAACAACUGUGAUCACAAUCGAGUGGAUUGAAUCAUAUAUAUCAAAUGAAAAGAAAAUCAAAUUGAGCAUAUAUAUAUAUAUGUAUAU